rnacentral:tRNA from 1 species
GCCUGGGUGGCUCAGUUGGUUAAGCAUCUGACUUCAGAUCAUGAUCUCAUGGUUUGUGGGUUCAAGCCCUGCAUCAGGCU